GUCGUGAGAUGUUGGGUUAAGUCCCGUAACGAGCGCAACCCUUGUCCUUAGUUACCAGCACGUUAAGGUGGGCACUCUAAGGAGACUGCCGGUGACAAACCGGAGGAAGGUGGGGAUGACGUCAAGUCAUCAUGGCCCUUACGGCCAGGGCUACACACGUGCUACAAUGGUCGGUACAGAGGGUUGCCAAGCCGCGAGGUGGAGCUAAUCCCAUAAAACCGAUCGUAGUCCGGAUCGCAGUCUGCAACUCGACUGCGUGAAGUCGGAAUCGCUAGUAAUCGUGAAUCAGAAUGUCACGGUGAAUACGUUCCCGGGCCUUGUACACACCGCCCGUCACACCAUGGGAGUGGGUUGCUCCAGAAGUAGCUAGUCUAACCGCAAGGGGG
rnacentral:rRNA from 2 species